rnacentral:rRNA from 1 species
CCUACGGGAGGCAGCAGUAGGGAAUCUUCCACAAUGGACGAAAGUCUGAUGGAGCAACGCCGCGUGAGUGAAGAAGGGUUUCGGCUCGUAACGCUCUGUUGGUAGUGAAGAAAGAUAGAGGUAGUAACUGGCCUUUAUUUGACGGUAAUUACUUAGAAAGUCACGGCUAACUACGUGCCAGCAGCCGCGGUAAUACGUAGGUGGCAAGCGUUGUCCUGAUUGAGUGGGCGUAAGGCGAGUGCAGGCGGUUCAAUAAGUCUGAUGUGAAAGCCUUCGGCUCAACCGGAGAAUUGCAUCAGAAACUGUUGAACUUUAGUGCAGAAGAGGAUAGUGGAACGCCAUGUGUAGCGGUGGAAUGCGUAGAUAUAUGGAAGAACACCAGUGGCGAAGGCGGCUCUCUGGUCUGCAACUGACGCUGAGGCUCGAAAGCAUGGGUAGCGAACAGGAUUAGAUACCCCAGUAGUC